GAUGAACGCUGGCGGCGUGCCUAAUACAUGCAAGUCGAGCGAACAGACGAGGAGCUUGCUCCUCUGACGUUAGCGGCGGACGGGUGAGUAACACGUGGAUAACCUACCUAUAAGACUGGGAUAACUUCGGGAAACCGGAGCUAAUACCGGAUAAUAUAUUGAACCGCAUGGUUCAAUAGUGAAAGACGGUUUUGCUGUCACUUAUAGAUGGAUCCGCGCCGCAUUAGCUAGUUGGUAAGGUAACGGCUUACCAAGGCAACGAUGCGUAGCCGACCUGAGAGUGUGAUCGGCCACACUAGAACUGAGACACGGUCCAGACUCCUACGGGAGGCAGCAGUAGGGAAUCUUCCGCAAUGGGCGAAAGCCUGACGGAGCAACGCCGCGUGAGUGAUGAAGGUCUUCGGAUCGUAAAACUCUGUUAUUAGGGAAGAACAAAUGUGUAAGUAACUAUGCACGUCUUGACGGUACCUAAUCAGAAAGCCACGGCUAACUACGUG
rnacentral:rRNA from 1 species